UAGGGAAUCUUCGGCAAUGGACGAAAGUCUGACCGAGCAACGCCGCGUGAGUGAAGAAGGUUUUCGGUAUCGUAAACUCUGUUGUUAGAGAAGAACAAGGGUGAGAGUAACUGUUCACCCCUUGACGGUAUCUAACCAGAAAGCCACGGCUAACUACGUGCCAG
rnacentral:rRNA from 1 species